UCCUCUUCAGUUAUGUGAGGUUUAUCCCGUUUCCAACGAAAUUCUCAGAGAAGUCCCAAAAUCCACUUGCAUAUUCCACAAAAGGUGUGUUUGGAAAUUGAGCCAUGAGAAGAUAUGCUCAGCUCUGUGAGUUAAACUCAAUCAUCGCAAAGAAUUUUCUGAGAGUGCUUCCGUCUUGUUUUUAGAUGAAGUUCUUUCCUUUACUACGAUAGGCCUCAAAGAGGUCCAAAUCUCCACUUGCAGAUUCUGCAGAAGGAGUGUUUCAAACCUGAACUGUCAGAGAAAGGUUCAACACUGUGAGUUGAAUGCAAGCAUCACGAAGAAGGUUCUGAGAAUGCUUCUG
rnacentral:lncRNA from 1 species